AUGAACGCUAGCGGCAGGCUUAACACAUGCAAGUCGAGGGGCAGCGGAGCGGAGUGCUUGCACUCUGCUGCCGGCGACCGGCGCACGGGUGAGUAACACGUAUGCAACCUGCCCCGGAGCGGGGGAUAACCCGGCGAAAGCCGGACUAAUACCGCGUAUAUAUCCAGGAGGCAUCUUCUGGAUAGGAAAGGACUUCGGUCCGCUCCGGGAUGGGCAUGCGGCGCAUUAGGCAGACGGCGGGGUAACGGCCCACCGUACCGACGAUGCGUAGGGGUUCUGAGAGGAAGGCCCCCCACACUGGUACUGAGACACGGACCAGACUCCUACGGGAGGCAGCAGUGAGGAAUAUUGGUCAAUGGGCGAGAGCCUGAACCAGCCAAGCCGCGUGAGGGAAGAAGGCGCUCAGCGUCGUAAACCUCUUUAGCCGGGGGACAAAACCUCCUCGCGAAGGAGGCUUGAGAGUACCCGGAGAAUAAGCAUCGGCUAACUCCGUGCCAGCAGCCGCGGUAAUACGGAGGAUGCGAGCGUUAUCCGGAUUUAUUGGGUUUAAAGGGUGCGCAGGCGGACAUUCAAGUCUGCGGUCAAAUUCCGGGGCUCAACCCCGGCCAGCCGUGGAAACUGAAUGACUUGAGUGGGCGAGAGGUAUGCGGAAUGCGCGGUGUAGCGGUGAAAUGCUUAGAGAUCGCGCAGAACUCCGAUUGCGAAGGCAGCAUACCGGCGCCUUACUGACGCUCAGGCACGAAAGCGUGGGGAUCGAACAGGAUUAGAUACCCUGGUAGUCCACGCAGUAAACGAUGAAUGCUGGUUGUUCGGGCCGACUGAGGCCUGAGUAACGUAGUGAAAACGUUAAGCAUUCCACCUGGGGAGUACGCCGGCAACGGUGAAACUCAAAGGAAUUGACGGGGGCCCGCACAAGCGGUGGAGUAUGUGGUUUAAUUCGAAGCAACGCGAAGAACCUUACCAGGCCUUGACAUCCCUUGCAGAGGUAUAGAGAUAUAUCCGAGGUUAUCAAGGAGACAGGUGGUGCAUGGUUGUCGUCAGCUCGUGCCGUGAGGUGUCGGCUUAAGUGCCAUAACGAGCGCAACCCCUGCGGACAGUUGCCAUCAGGUAGAGCUGGGCACUCUGUCCGGACUGCCGGCGCAAGCCGUGAGGAAGGCGGGGAUGACGUCAAAUCAGCACGGCCCUUACGUCCGGGGCGACACACGUGUUACAAUGGGCGGCACAGCGGGAAGCCAGGUGGUGACACCGAGCAGAACCCGAAAGCCGUUCUCAGUUCGGAUCGGAGUCUGCAACCCGACUCCGUGAAGCUGGAUUCGCUAGUAAUCGCGCAUCAGCCAUGGCGCGGUGAAUACGUUCCCGGGCCUUGUACACACCGCCCGUCAAGCCAUGGAAGCCGGGGGCGCUUGAAGUGCGUUGCCGCAAGGCGCGCCCUAGAGCGAAACCGGUGACUGGGGCU
rnacentral:rRNA from 1 species